rnacentral:rRNA from 1 species
AGUGAACGCUGGCGGUAGGCCUAACACAUGCAAGUCGAACGGCAGCACAGUAAGAGCUUGCUCUUACGGGUGGCGAGUGGCGGACGUGUGAGGAAUACAUCGGAAUCUACUUUUUCGUGGGGGAUAACGUAGGGAAACUUACGCUAAUACCGCAUACGACCUACGGGUGAAAGCAGGGGAUCUUCGGACCUUGCGCGAUUGAAUGAGCCGAUGUCGGAUUAACUAGUUGGCGGGGUAAAGGCCCACCAAGGCGACGAUCCGUAGCUGGUCUGAGAGGAUGAUCAGCCACACUGGAACUGAGACACGGUCCAGACUCCUACGGGAGGCAGCAGUGGGGAAUAUUGGACAAUGGGCGCAAGCCUGAUCCAGCCAUACCGCGUGGGUGAAGAAGGCCUUCGGGUUGUAAAGCCCUUUUGUUGGGAAAGAAAAGCAGCAGGUUAAUACCCCGCUGUUCUGACGGUACCCAAAGAAUAAGCACCGGCUAACUUCGUG